rnacentral:rRNA from 1 species
AUUGAACGCUGGCGGCAUGCUUUACACAUGCAAGUCGAACGGUAACAGGCCGCAAGGUGCUGACGAGUGGCGAACGGGUGCGUAAUGCAUCGGAACGUGCCCAGUCGUGGGGGAUAACUACUCGAAAGAGUAGCUAAUACCGCAUACGAUCUAUGGAUGAAAGCGGGGGACCGUAAGGCCUCGCGCGAUUUGAGCGGCCGAUGUCAGAUUAGGUAGUUGGUGGGGUAAAGGCUCACCAAGCCAACGAUCUGUAGCUGGUCUGAGAGGACGACCAGCCACACGAGGACUGAGACACGGCCCAGACUCCUACGGGAGGCAGCAGUGGGGAAUUCUGGACAAUGCGCGCAAGCCUGAUCCAGCAAUGCCGCGUGCAGGAAGAAGGCCUUCGGGUUGUAAACUGCUUUUGUACGGAACGAAACGGCGCUGGUUAAUACCCGGGGCUAAUGACGGUACCGUAAGAAUAAGCACCGGCUAACUACG